rnacentral:lncRNA from 1 species
AUGACAGUGUUGAAAUCCCACCUCUUCUCCCUUCCAUCCAGAUGUCACCUUGGAGAGGAGCCAGAAAAGGAGCCAGGAGAAUGGAACCAUGAUGAGUGCGAGAGAAUAAUCACUGUUGAACUCUGGCCAAGGCACCAAGCUGAACUUUGCAUCACGACACUUCCCAUCUUUAAGCAGCCCUGUGAGAAGCGGGAAGAAAGAAACCACAAAGAAGCAGAAAGACAAGACUUCCUCCUGUGGCGCCCUCUGCUGGCAAAGUGUCACAGCGUCACAUUAUGUCAGCCAGCAGAGGAGAAAGGUUCACAGGGUCCAGCUUCAUUCAGCAUCACAAAGCAGGGCAGUACAUGUGAGUACGGAUCUGAGAGGCGAUACAUGGAUAAUUGGUAAGCCCAGAUUCCUUUAGUUAUAACACUGACCUUUUCUGACCUUCGGGUUUCCCAUCUUGAAACGGGCCACAACGGUGCUUGUCUCACAGGGUUGCUGUGUGCAUUAACUAAGACAAGGUAGGAAUUCUCCUUGUGGCUCAGUGGGUUCAGGACAUUGUCUUUGUGAGGAGGUGGGUUCCAUCCCUGGCCUUGCUCAGUGGGUUAAGGAUCCAGCAUUGCUGUGAGCUGUGGGGUAGGUCGCAGAUGCAGUUUGGAUCCAGUGUUGCCAUGGCUGUGGCGUAGGCUGCAGCUUCCGCUCUGAUUCGACCCCUAACCUGGGAACUUCGGCCAUACAAAGAAAAGAAAAAGUAAAAUGAGGUACAUAUGGGUCUGGGAUGUUAUAGAGUUUCAGUGAGAGUUAGUGCCUGGUGGCGUGUUUUCUUACAGAACUGCGGGAUCUCACCACUGUUAAGAGACAUAAGGCAUUGUCAAGUCCACCUCUCUGAUUUCAAAGAUGAGGUCCAGAGAAAGUGAUUUGUCUCAGGUCUCAACACCUAUCAAGGGCAGAGCAAUAAUUAGUUCCUGAGGCUCCUGACACCUACCUUAUUUCUCUUCUUAUUCAACUCUGCCACCUCAUAUUUGAUAUAUUAAUUGAGGGCUGAAGCGGGCAUGAGGUAGUCCCAUAUGAAAUUAUUUCACAUUGGCUGGCCUUGUCUCAAAUUGGCACGAUCAGAGAACAUUUUUUGUUUAUAAG